rnacentral:tRNA from 1 species
CGGGCUGUAGUGUAAUAGUAGCACGAGUCCUUCGGGAGGAUUUAGCCUGGGUGCAAAUCCCAGCAGCCCGA